rnacentral:rRNA from 1 species
GAUGAACGCUGGCGGCGUGCCUAAUACAUGCAAGUCGAGCGAACAGACGAGGAGCUUGCUCCUCUGACGUUAGCGGCGGACGGGUGAGUAACACGUGGAUAACCUACCUAUAAGACUGGGAUAACUUCGGGAAACCGGAGCUAAUACCGGAUAAUAUAUUGAACCGCAUGGUUCAAUAGUGAAAGACGGUUUUGCUGUCACUUAUAGAUGGAUCCGCGCCGCAUUAGCUAGUUGGUAAGGUAACGGCUUACCAAGGCAACGAUGCGUAGCCGACCUGAGAGGGGUGUACGGCCACACGGAAACUGGGAACGGGUCCAAACCCCUACGGAGGGCAGCAUUGGGAAAUUUUCCGAAAGGGGGAAAAGCCUAACGGGCCGCCGCCGGGGGGGUAAUGAAGUGCUUCGGUUCGAAAAACCCUUUUUUGGGGAAAAAAAAAAUGGGAAAAAAACUAAGCCCGUCCGGAGGGUACCAAAUCAGAAAGCCACGGCUAACUACGU